UUCCGGUUGAUCCCGCCGGAGGCUACCGCUAUUGGAGUUCGAUUAAGCCAUGCGAGUCGCGAGUCUUAGGGACUCGGCGUACCGCUCAGUAACACGUGGGUAACCUGCCCUAUGCUGGGGGAUAACCUCGGGAAACUGAGAAUAAUACCCCAUAGUUCACCACGCCUGGAACGGUGGGUGGACCAAAGCUCCGGCGGCAUAGGAUGGGCCUGCGGCGUAUCAGGUUGUAGGGGGUGUAAUGUACCCUCUAGCCCUCUACGCGUACGGGUGUUGAGAGACAUCGCCCGGAGAUGGAUUCUGAGACACGAAUCCAGACCCUACGGGGUGCAGCAGGCGCGAAAACUUGGCAAUGCGAGAAAUCGUGACCAGGGAACUCCAAGUGCAUCGGGUAAGACCGAUGCUUUUCUUGACUCUUCAAAGGUCUUGGAAUAAGGGGUGGGUAAGGACGGUGCCAGCCGCCGCGGUAAUACCGGCGCCCCAAGUGGUAGUCGCUUUUAUUGGGCCUAAAACGUCCGUAGCCGGUCUGGUACAUUCGUGGGUAAAUCAACCAGCUCAACUGGUUGAAUUCUGCGAGCACGGCCAGACUUGGGACCGGGAGAGGUGUGGGGUACUCUCAGGGUAGGGGUAAAAUCCUGUCAUCCUGAGAGGACCACCUGUUGCGAAGGCGCCACACUAGAACGGAUCCGACGGUCAGGGACGAAGCCUAGGGGCACGAACCGGAUUAGAUACCCGGGUAGUCCUAGGUGUAAACGCUGUGGACUUGAUGUUGGGGGCGCUCCGAGCGCACUCAGUGUCGAAGCGAAGGUGAUAAGUCCACUGCCUGGGGAGUACGGUCGCAAGGCUGAAACUUAAGGAAUUGGCGGGGGAGCACCGCAACCUGAGGAUUGUGCGGUUUAAUUGGAGUCAACGCCGG
rnacentral:rRNA from 1 species